rnacentral:rRNA from 1 species
UACGAAGGGGGCUAGCGUUGCUCGGAAUCACUGGGCGUAAAGCGCACGUAGGCGGGUCGUUAAGUCGGGGGUGAAAUCCUGGAGCUCAACUCCAGAACUGCCUUCGAUACUGGCGACCUUGAGUCCGGGAGAGGUGAGUGGAACUCCGAGUGUAGAGGUGAAAUUCGUAGAUAUCUGGAGGAACACCGGUGGCGAAGGCGGCAUCCUGGACCGGCAUUGACGCUGAGGCGCGAAAGCCAGGGGAGCAAACGGG